rnacentral:rRNA from 1 species
UUUAAUUCGAUGCAACGCGAAGAACCUUACCUGCCCUUGACAUGCUAGGAAGUCUGCAGAGAUGCGGAUGUGCCUUCGGGAACCUAGACACAGGUGCUGCAUGGCUGUCGUCAGCUCGUGUCGUGAGAUGUUGGGUUAAGUCCCGUAACGAGCGCAACCCUUAUCCUUAGUUACCAGCACGUUAUGGUGGGAACUCUAAGGAGACUGCCGGUGACAAACCGGAGGAAGGUGGGGAUGACGUCAAGUCCUCAUGGCCCUUAUGGGCAGGGCUACACACGUGUUACAAUGGCCGGUACAGAGGGUUGCCAACCCGCAAGGGGGAGCUAAUCCCAUAAAACCGGUCUCAGUCCGGAUUGAGGUCUGCAACUCGACCCCAUGAAGCUGGAAUCGCUAGUAAUCGCGGAUCAGAACGCCG